GACAGAGGUUGCAAACGUUGUUCGGAAUUACUGGGCAUAAAGCGCACGUAGGCGGCCCGGUAAGUCGGAUGUGAAAGCCCUCGGCUCAACUGAGGAAGUGCAUUCGAAACUGCCAGGCUUGAAUAUGGAAGAGGGUCGCGGAAUUCCCGGUGUAGAGGUGAAAUUCGUAGAUAUCGGGAGGAACACCAGUGGCGAAGGCGGCGACCUGGACCAGCACUGACACUGAGGCACGAAAGCGUGGGGAGCAAACAGG
rnacentral:rRNA from 1 species